CCUACGGGGGGCAGCAGUAGGGAAUCUUCGGCAAUGGGCGAAAGCCUGACCGAGCAACGCCGCGUGAGCGAUGAAGGCCUUCGGGUCGUAAAGCUCUGUUGUUAAGGAAGAACAAGUACGAGAGUAACUGCUCGUACCUUGACGGUACUUAACGAGAAAGCCACGGCUAACUACGUGCCAGCAGCCGCGGUAAUACGUAGGUGGCGAGCGUUAUCCGGAAUUAUUGGGCGUAAAGCGCGCGCAGGCGGUUUCUUAAGUCUGAUGUGAAAGCCCACGGCUCAACCGUGGAGGGUCAUUGGAAACUGGGAAACUUGAGUGCAGAAGAGGAAAGCGGAAUUCCACGUGUAGCGGUGAAAUGCGUAGAGAUGUGGAGGAACACCAGUGGCGAAGGCGGCUUUCUGGUCUGUAACUGACGCUGAGGCGCGAAAGCGUGGGGA
rnacentral:rRNA from 1 species